GUCGGGGGAGGACAACAAAGGGCCGCGGGCGGCGGGCAGUGGUGUCCCAGUCUCCCGGUGCUUCCCUGAGGCUGAGGCGCCCGGCCUCCCGCCCGCCGCGCUCCAGAUGAAGUGUGAGCACUGCACGCGCAAGGAAUGUAGUAAGAAAACAAAAACUGAUGACCAAGAGAAUGUGUCAGCCGAUGCACCGAGUCCAGCCCAGGAAAAUGGAGAGGCAAGUAGAUUUUUCAGUUUUGUAUCAGCCCAGAGUAAACUACUGCUGCUGUUUUUCUCUUUGGGGGCUCACAGCACCGUGCACAUCACUGCUUUAAAGAAGACUGAAGUACGCGGGCAUGGUGGCUCACGCCUGGAAUCCCAGCACUUUGGGAGGCCGAGGUGGACGGAUCACUUGAGGUCAGGAGUUUGAGACCAGCCUGGCCAACAUGGUGAAACCUUAUCUCUGCUAAAAAUACAAAAAUUAUCCAGGUAUGGUGGUGUACGCCUGUAAUCCCAGCUACUCAGGAGGCUGAGGCAGGAGAAUUGCUUGACCCUGGAAGACAGAGGUUGCAGUGAGCUGAGAUUGUACCACUGUACUUCAGCCUGGGCAACAGAGUGAGACUCUGUCCCAAAAAAAAGACUGAAAUAGGCCAGGCGUGGUGGCUCAUGCCUGUAAUCCCAGAACUUUGGGAGGCCGAGGCAGGCGGAUCAUGAGAUCAGGAGAUUGAGACUAUCCUGGCUAACACAGUGAAACCUCAUCUCUACUAAAAAUGCAAAAAAUUAGCCGGGCGUGGUGGGGGGCGCCUGUAGUCCCAGCUACUCGGGAGGCUGAGCCAGGAGAAAGGCGUGAACCUGGGAGGCGGAACUUGCAUGGCUCACUGUAUGGCUCACCGCAGCCUUGACCUCUGAGGCUCA
rnacentral:lncRNA from 10 species